rnacentral:rRNA from 1 species
GACGAACGCUGGCGGCGUGCUUAACACAUGCAAGUCGAACGGAAAGGCCCUGCUUUUGUGGGGUGCUCGAGUGGCGAACGGGUGAGUAACCCGUGAGUAACCUGCCCUUGACUUUGGGAUAACUUCAGGAAACUGGGGCUAAUACCGGAUAGGAGCUCCUGCUGCAUGGUGGGGGUUGGAAGGUUUCGGCGGUUGGGGAUGGACUCGCGGCUUAUCAGCUUGUUGGUGGGGUAGUGGCUUACCAAGGCUUUGACGGGUAGCCGGCCUGAGAGGGUGACCGGCCACAUUGGGACUGAGAUACGGCCCAGACUCCUACGGGAGGCAGCAGUGGGGAAUAUUGCACAAUGGGCGGAAGCCUGAUGCAGCAACGCCGCGUGCGGGAUGACGGCCUUCGGGUUGUAAACCGCUUUCGCCUGUGACGAAGCGUGAGUGACGGUAAUGGGUAAAGAAGCACCGGCUAACUACGUG